AGCAAUCUGCCGCCGUCAGGUGCCCUGCUACGGGGAGAAUCGGGAAGCUGGUUUAACUCCAGCGCGGGCCCGCCGCUGUAAGGGGGACGGAACGCACAAGUGCCACUGGGCUUUCCCGGGAAGGUGUGCGUUUCGACAGAUCCCAAGCCAGAAGACCGGCCUGACGACAUGGACCAAC
rnacentral:ncRNA from 1 species